rnacentral:rRNA from 1 species
CCUACGGGAGGCAGCAGUGAGGAAUAUUGGUCAAUGGGCGGAAGUCUGAACCAGCCAAGUAGCGUGCAGGAUGACUGCCCUACGGGUUGUAAACUUCUUUUAUAUGGGAAUAAAACAGGGUAUGCAUACCCCCUUGUAUGUACCAUAUGAAUAAGGAUCGGCUAAUUCCGUGCCAGCAGCCGCGGUAAUACGGAGGAUCCGAGCGUUAUCCGGAUUUAUUGGGUGUAAAGGGAGCGUAGGUGGAUUGUCAAGUCAGUUGUGAAAGUUUGGGGCUCAACCGUAGCAUUGCAGCGCGAACUGGCGGUCUUGAGUACAGUAGAGGCAGGCGGAAUUCGUGGUGUAGCGGUGAAAUGCUUAGAUAUCACGAAGAACCCCGAUUGCGAAGGCAGCUCACUGGACUGGAACUGACACUGAGGCUCGAAAGUGUGGGUAUCGAACAGGAUUAGAUACCCGUGUAGUC